ensembl:lncRNA
CGCAGAGUCACCACGUUAUCCCGGGAAGACAGGAUGCUUCUGCUGGCAUCCAAUAAGAUAAGUUUUAUAAAAUAUAUAGAUUUAUGAUAAUUAAGACUGAGCUAGCAGAUGAGAAAUCCUAGUCACUGGCCAAGCAGCAUUUGUACAAAAUAUAAGUCUCUGUGUGUGACUUGGGACCUUAAUGUGGUGGCGGGCGGAACUUGGGCGACCUGGUGGAAAGCACCCACGUGGCAGCAGGGCUCGGGUGGCUUGGUGGAAAGACUUAUUGUUACACAUCAUCUCUACAUUCCAACAAUCAUCUAGUUGUUCACUGAUAUGUGCAUGCAAACCACAUCCCAUACAUUUGCUAGGUCGUCUCUCUCCAUUCUUUGAUUCAUAAUCCAGUCAUUGCCCAGGUGCACAGUCAUCCAUCUAUCCGCCUACGCAUCCACUCUUUAUUUUGUCGUUCAUAUGCCCCCCAUUGUACAUCUGUAUCAUCCGUUCUCACUCAUCCAAUCCCACCUUAGUAGUGACGAGAGCAUAAACAAAAGUACUGUGCUGUUUGUCUCAGAAAGGCAGAGCACAUACAGUUAUAUGCAGUUUAUAACAGUUGAUAGUUAUAUUAUCAAGUGUGUUAUUAGUUGUGCUGGUUACUUCUCGUUGCUCUGACCAAAUACCCAAGAGAAAAGCAACUGAAAGGAAGAAAGUUAUACCUAGGCUCGUUGCCGUGACCUGCACAGCUUAGGGAGUGACUGCAUCUAAGAACAAAGCCAGGCACACAGUCUGUACCUUUAAAAUAUUGAUUGUUAUUAUACACAUUAUAGAAUCAUCUAUGUGCCGGGCUGUGCGCUGUGUCUCCAGGACACAAACCUGAAGGACUCAUGCGACGUCAUGAGGAAAGCAUGUUAUACUGCAUGCUUAUCCAUCUUGAGCCUCUGGGCAGACAAAGGGCAGAAGGGACCGGUUCUUACUGGCAGUGAGAUUGCCAUUCCCAUCAGGCCAAGGAGGAGGCAGUCUUGCAGAAGAUAUGGGAACAACAUUAAAAAUAGAGAAGAGAGAGGUUAAAGACUCAGCAGAGAGCGGGCAUACAGUGUGAGAAUGCUGAGCUGUGGGGUAUAGUGAGGGCUGUUGUGCAAUAUUUGAUCUCACUCUGACACUCCCGAGGCUUCCAAUAAAGUUUACUUUGAAUCAGAAGGUGGAGCUAGCUACUAGCUGACCAAAAUUAGCCAUAGAGGUUUUGGAGGACAGAGGACCAACAGGAGGUAGUAGGGUGGGGCUUAGACAGACUGGAUUAAGGAGAGAGGGGUGGGGUCACUGGUUGCUUCUCCUUCACUUCUCUCAUCAUUCAGGUUCUUACCCCGAUAUCUGACUCUUGAGUUAUUAUUGAUAAUAAGAUUAUUAGAUAAACGCUUCAGACGGCAAGAUGAGAAAGAGGGAUGGCACGAGGCGCAGACACUGAGGUAUGCUGUGGGCCUAUUCGGGGUCCUUGACAUGGCUGUGCUUGUGUCAAAGAAUGCACAUUUGCUCAGGCCAGAAUUUCAUACACACCCUAUAGCUCAUGAUUGCAGAGGUUUUGACUCAUGGUCAGCUCACUGCAUUGUUCUUUGCUAAUUGUUUGUUUAAGACAAGGCAGAAUCAUCAUGGUUGGGGGGGGUUGCAGCGGUGCUGCUCACCAUGUGGCAGCCAGGAAGCAGGAAGUGCAGUCGUGAGCUUGUGCUAGUGGGCUUCUUCCUCUUUCCAACUGGGCUUCUUCCUCUUUCCAACUUGGUUGCAUCUGGUCCCUAGCCUGUAGGCUGGUGCUGUCUGUGUUCCUGGGGUCCAUCUCUCUUGCUGUCCUGCAUGCCAAUCACCUCAGAAAAUGUCUUUUCGUACACAUCCUGAAGCACGUCUUACUGAUCUUUUGGGAAUUUCUCAAUCCAAUCAAGUUGACGUCACCCUGGUUUAUAUAGUCACUGUACCACAGUUUUCAUCCUUGUGUCAGAGCACAUGGUUUUGGGUUAUUUUUAAAGUGCACUGAACAUCUCAUGUUUACAGCAUCUCUUUGAUUACAUCAUGUGGUCAUAAUGAAGGGACCAGCUUCCCUUUCGGCAGCCAUAACAGCCAAACACGUGCUUGCCAUAAACCUGCCUUGGUCACUUAGAGGUCAGAUGCCUGCCUCGUGACAAGGAACCAAUCAGAAGUUAGCUGGUGGCACUAUGCUUUACGACCCUGGGUGUGCUUUACGGACAAGCGCACAGCAAUGACGCACAGAGCAUAGCAACCACCCUGGGAGGGCCUAUGGGCCAUAACAGCCAGUUGACCAAUCAACACAGGGCAAGCCCUCCAAGGCUGGAGGCACACCAAUCCUGAGCCUGUGCGUACCCCUAGACACUCCCCUUACGCUGCCCUAUAAAGAUCUGUGUGCAGCGGCUUCAAACUGUCUUUUCUAGCCAUCCGCCAUGGCGGGUGGGUGAAAGACCUGAGUUAACAUGGGGUUAGCUCGUUAAAUUACAAUAAAGCCUCGUGCAGUUUGCAUCAAGCUCUCGAAUCCGCCUGGUGAUUGGGGUGACCGCAGUCGUGGCCUGGGACCCCAGAUACUUGAGUUUUCGGGGGUUUAACAAUACUGAGUGGCUGAUCUCCACCAUGUGGGUUUAUAUAAGUCCACACUAGGUCAGUCACACUCGGAGGAAGUCCCCUUAAUGCCAUGUCUUUCGGAACAUGCCCUUACUCUUCAGCUUGCAUGGCUGUGUGCCAUAAAACAAAGACUUUGGGAUUUUCCUGGGCUCUUACCUGGUCUAAGGUGGAGAAGUGUCUGUGAAUUUCCCACUGUGUUGGGUGAAGAGGACUGUGCCCUUCGUAUGCUUCUGGUGUCCUUUUCACCGCCUGGUUCCUGCAUAUUUCACCAUUGGUUUUUCUCGUCACUGACUUGGGUAGAACCUGAUCUCUGCUUCAGAGCUGUGAUACUCUCACUCCUUGUGGAUUGCUGCAAUGUCUCGAUAGCUCCUCCACCUCUACGCUCAAGAGCGCCCAUCAUUGCUUUGCUCUGUUUCUGGAGUAAGAUGCAGGAGGAGUAGAGAAUAUUCCAGAUGCUGGAACAGAGGCAUGGAGAGACAUCAUGUCUUGGGCUGGGUUUCCCAAGAGUCGGACAUUAAAAGGAGUCUGAGAAGGUAUUUUAUUCUGGAAAUGACCUAGAGAACUGUAGGGACAGGGGAAGGAAAGUAGGCAGAAAGAGACAUGUCCUUGCCGGGUGUUGGUGGCGCACACCUUUAAUCCCAGCCCUUGGGAGGCAGAGGCAGGUGGAUCUCUGUGAGUUCGAGGCCAGCCUGGUUUCCAGAGCAAGUGCCAGGAUAGGCUCCAAAGCUACACAGAGAAACCCUGUCUGGAGAGAGAGAGAGAGAGAGAGAGAGAGGUCCUUGUUGGAGAUGGAAAGAUUACCACUGGAGCUCCAUAACCACACUGGAAGGUGAUACAGUGUAACAGCGUGGGUAAGGGGGCUGCACCUAUGCCUGCCACCUCCUGCUUCUCCAGCCUGGUCCACGUAGGAGCCCUGUGAUGGGCAGCUUGAUAGGAUUUAGAAUCACCAUGAACACAAGCCUCAAUGCACAUUUGUGUGGAGGGAGUCAACCCUAAAUGUGGCAGCAUCACAGACUAGAUCUGAAUAACAAGAAGCUGAGCUGAGCCCAAGGCUUUUUCUCUUCUUCUUCUUCUUCUUCUUCUUCUUCUUCUUCUUCUUCUUCUUCUUCUUCUUCUUCUUCUUCUUCUUCUUUCCUCCUCCUCCUCCUCCUCCUCCUCCUCCUGCUCAUCCUCCUCCUCCUCCUCCUCACUGUGGAUACAGUGUGUCCAGCGUCAUGCUCCUGUUGCACUGCCUCUGCUGCCAGGAUACACUAAUGUUGAAAUUUAAACCAAACAGACCCCCUUUCUUCCCUCCCUCCCUCCCUCCCUGCCUCACAGCAAAGAGGAAGACUAUUAAUACGGCCCCACCAGCUCCUGCUCAGGCUGAGUAUCAAUCACUAAUGCAGUAAUUGCCUUCCGUCUGUGUCAAGUUGACACGGAAACUAGCCUGCACAGACACACACAAAGAAAACAUGGCAGCAUGUGUAAACUUCAAAAAGGUGCCUGAAAGACCCGGAGUGUGCGUGUUCUUUAACAGGAGCUGUAGUAGCUGCCUUGCCCAUGAGGUUUUAAAUCUGGCUGCUUCUCCAAAGGGUGGAGCACAGAGAGGAGAGCCCUGGGGUCCUGAUGCCUCUGCUCCACUGCUGUGCAAUCCCUGCUGCCUGUCUCGGGCUUCUUCCCAGUGAGAGAUACACAAUUUCUGUUUGAGCCAGGUUGUUACUCCUUUGGAGCGCUCUGUCACAUUGAACAAAAUGAGACACUAACAGAGGCAAUCAUGAGGUGGUAAUCCAGAUUGGAUACCUGGAUUUGAAUACUGGUCUGCUUUUCCCAGCUGAGAGAGACAGAAAUUUCCUUUACUCACACCGCCGCCCCCCCCCCUGCCCCCCGUGCCCAAGCAAUCAAUAAUUACUUCAUCAGCCUGUGGGAAGAAUUAAAAGAAAUAAUGGAAGUUAUGGCGCUUUGAGGUUUUAAAAGCCCCUGCCAGGCCCAAUCUUGUACUUGCUCCCUCUCUCUCUCUCUCUCUCUCUCUCUCUCUCUCUCUCUCUCUCUCCCUCCCUCCCUUCCUCUCUCUCUCUCCCUUGUAACUUGCAGAUCAGAUGUAAACUCUCUUCGACUGCUCCAGCACUUUGUCUGCCUGUCUGCCAGAGUACUCCCCACCAUGACUAACUAACCCUCUAAAGCUGUAAGCAAGCCCCCAAUUAAAUGCUUUCUUUUGUAAGUUUCUUUGGUCAUGGUGUCUCUUCGCAGCAAUAGAACAGUAACUAAGACAGAAGCAAAAUGUGUUCACACGGCGCCUGACCCAAUACAAGAGUUUGAUAAAUGUUAAUAUGGUCACCAACAGUGGUCAUUCAGAAGGGACAGAGUUCCUGCUCCACGCUUGGCACUGUGCUUGCAAAGUCAGGGUAAGGGUAAAGUUUCUACUAUCAAAGAGUCACUGCCUUUUACACAGAAUGUUGAGUUGUAGGCCAACUUAUAAAAGUUUAGUGCCAGGAAGUAGCUCUGAAGGUUCCAAAGACACCAAGAAGAAGGCACCAACCCCAGAGAGGAGGAGUCAUAGGUGGCUCCACUCCACUCUCCUCCAAAGACAAAUGGUGUAAUGUGGUUGAUUGGGGAAAGAAAUCUAGGGUUCACCAAUGUGCUGCCUACAAGAAACUCACUUUAGAUACAGGGCACACAGACUGGAAAUGAAAGGACAGAACACAGUCUGUGCCGAUGGUAAUGCAGAAAUAGCUACACUAAUCCCUCACAGAGUGAAUCUGAGUCAAAAAUAGUCACAAGAAAGGCUGGGCAUGAUAGUGCAGUCAUGUAAUCCCAGCACUCAUGACAGACAAUGGAGGGUCAUAAGUUUGAGGCCAGCCUUGAUUACAUACCAAGACUGUUAAAACAAAACAAAAUAAAACUGCCAUAAGCUAAAAAAGGCUCUGUGUAAUGAUAAGGGAUCAUUCACUAGGAAAAUGAAACAAUUAAAAAUACGUAUGCAUCAAAUCAAGGUUCCUCUCUUAAUUAAGAUUUCCAUUGCUGUGAAGAGACACCAUGACCACAGCAGCUCUUAUAAAGGAAAACAUUUAGUUGAGCUGGCUGCUUACAGUGCAGAGGUUCGGUCCAUCUUCUUGGCUAUAAGCAUGGCAGUGUGCAGGCAGACAUGGUGCUGACUACAUUUUGAACGGAAGUCAACAGGAAAAGUGAACUGAGCGUAGGAAACCUCAAAGCCCGCCCCCACAGUAACACACUUCCUCUAACAAUACCAUACCCACUCCAACAAAGCCACACCUCCUAAUAGUGCCACUCCCUAUGAGAUUACAGAGUCAAUUACAUUCAAACUACCACAGUCCUUGAUUGUAUAAAGCAAAUGGUGUCACGGUUAAAGAAGCAGCUGGCCACAAGCUAGAUGAGCCUAGGUCUUGUCAAGUUGCCAACCAAUAUUAAUCCUCAGAGACACUGAUGCACAUUCGUGCAUGGGAGCCAGAGAAGAGGAAGAAACCACGAAGGGAAGGACAUUGUAGGUGUCUACACAUAAGAAAAGCCACCUUGAUUUGACGGUCACAGCUGGAUGAACCCCUUCUCGUUCAAUGGAGAAAGCUGAGGUCUAAAGACUGUAAUAUAUUCAGCAGUUAAGAGCACUGGCUACUGUUAGUCUCAAACCCAGGACAAGUCUCAGUAGCUGUGACUCCUCCCAACACCUCUCAACCCACCCUUUACUGGAAGCCAAUCCCUCCCAGGGACUGGGCUUCCACUUCCCUUCUUCCCUUCCCCCAGCCUGAUCUCUGAGUAACCCAGACAUUUGGGUUACACUAGUCUCUUGGCCCUGGCUGCCUACUCUUGGUCAGCGGCUGCUCUGUUGCUCUCUCUUUCCCUUUCUCCUUUCAUGGUCUGGUUUAGUCUGCCAGCCGUGUUCAUCCUGGACUCUUCCCUCUGCCUUCCUUCUCCCUUACAUCUACAAUAAAAAUCUUUUAUUUCAUGUUUUCAUUCACUUACUUUUCCAGAAGACCUGGGUUCAAUUCCCAACACCCAUGUGGCAGCUCACAAAGCAUCUGCCAUUCCAGUCCCAGGGGAUCUAACAUCCUCUUCUGGCCUCUGAGGGCACUGCACACUUAGGGUGCACAGAUGCAGGCAAAGCACCUGUACGCGCAAAAUAAAGGGACAAAUUUAAGAGUGUAGUGUUUUGCACAAGAUUAUUAGUAAGUUUAUAUCUGAGCAAUGAUUUAAAGCUAAGAAAUUUCUGGAUGACCAAGGAACCAGAGUAGCAGUUGUGAAACAAGUUUAGUCGACUAUUUAAUAAGCAGGCUUGAAGGUCAUUGAGGAUGGCCCCUCCUUCGUAAGAGCCUUUGGACUAGACUUGCCACCAUUAUAGGGCCAGGCAGUGAUGGGUCAAAGCCUGG